rnacentral:rRNA from 1 species
UAGAGUUGACCUGGCUCCGGACGAACGCUGGCGGCGUGCUUAACACAUGCAAGUCGAGCGGGGGGCCCUUCGGGGCUCUCAGCGGCGAACGGGUGAGUAACACGUGGGCAACCUGCCCCGAGCUUCGGAAUAACCUCGGGAAACCGGGGCUAAUGCCGGGUACGACCCCUCCGGGCAUCUGGGGGGGUGGAAAGAUUCAUCGGCUCGGGAUGGGCCCGCGGCCUAUCAGCUUGUUGGUGGGGUGACGGCCCACCAAGGCGACGACGGGUAGCCGGCCUGAGAGGGCGAUCGGCCACACUGGGACUGAGACACGGCCCAGACUCCUACGGGAGGCAGCAGUGGGGAAUAUUGCGCAAUGGGCGGAAGCCUGACGCAGCGACGCCGCGUGGGGGAUGACGGCCUUCGGGUUGUAAACCUCUUUCAGCAGGGACGAAGCGCAAGUGACGGUACCUGCAGAAGAAGCACCGGCCAACUACGUGCCAGCAGCCGCGGUAAUACGUAGGUGGCAAGCGUUGUCCGGAUUUACUGGGCGUAAAGCGUAUGCAGGCGGAUACUUAAGUAGGAAGUGAAAGGUGGGAGCUCAACUCCCACAUUGCUCCCUAUACUGGGUGUCUUGAGUGGCGGAGAGGGAGAUGGAACGACACGUGUAGCGGUGAAAUGCGUUGAUAUGUGUCGGAACACCAAUGGCGAAAGCAAUCUCCUGGACGCAAACUGACGCUGAGAUACGAAAGCCAAGGUAGCAAACAGGAUUAGAUACCCUGGUAGUCUUGGCCAUAAACGAUGUUCACUAGGUGUUGGGGCUUUGCCUCGGUGCCGCAGCUAACGCAUUAAGUGAACCGCCUGGGAACUACGAUCGCAAGAUUAAAACUCAAAGGAAUUGGCGGGGGCCCGCACAAGCGGUGGAGCAUGUGGCUUAAUUCGAUGCAACGCGAAGAACCUUACCAGGGCUUGACAUGGAUCUGCAAGCUACCGAAAAGUAGUCGCCUUCGAGGGUGAUUCACAGGUGGUGCAUGGCUGUCGUCAGCUCGUGUUGUGAAAUGUUGGGUUAAGUCCCGCAACGAGCGCAACCCUCAUGUUCUGUUACCAGCGAGUAAAGUCGGGGACUCGGAACAAACUGCCGCUGUAAAGCGGAGGAAGGUGGGGAUGACGUCAAGUCAUCAUGCCCCUUACGCCCUGGGCUGCACACAUGCUACAAUGGCCGGUACAAUGGGCGGCGAUACCGCGAGGUGGAGCGAAUCCCAAAAAGCCGGUCUCAGUUCGGAUCGGGGUCUGCAACUCGACCCCGUGAAGCCGGAGUCGCUAGUAAUCGCAGAUCAGCAACGCUGCGUUGAAUACGUUCCCGGGCAUGCACACACCG